rnacentral:rRNA from 1 species
UAGGGAAUCUUCGGCAAUGGACGACAGUCUGACCGAGCAACGCCGUGUGAGUGAAGAAGGUUUUCGGAUCGUAAAACUCUGUUGUUAGAGAAGAACAAGGACGUUAGUACCUGAACGUCCCCUGACGGUAUCUAACCAGAAAGCCACGGCUAACUACGUGCCAGCAGCCGCGGUAAUACGUAGGUGGCAAGCGUUGUCCGGAUUUAUUGGGCGUAAAGAGAGCGCAGGCGGUUUCUUAAGUCUGAUGUGAAAGCCCCCGGCUCAACCGGGGAGGGUCAUUGGAAACUGGGAGACUUGAGGACAGAAGAGGAGAGGGGAAGUCCAUGUGUAGCAGUGAAAUGCGGAGAGAUCUGGAGGAAUACCGGUGGCGAAGGCGGCCCCCUGGACGAAGACUGACGCUCAGGUGCGAAGGCGGGGGGAGCAAACAGG